rnacentral:rRNA from 1 species
GAAGUGAGAAUGCUGACAUGAGUAGCGAUAAACAGAGUGAGAAACUCUGUCGCCGAAAGUCCAAGGGUUCCUGCGCAAGGCUAAUCCGCGCAGGGUGAGCCGGCCCCUAAGCCGAGGGCGAAAGCCGUAGGCGAUGGGAACCAGGUUAAUAGUCCUGGGCCAGCGGGUGGUGACGGAUGCUGUAAGUUGUUCGGGCUGAUUGGAUUGUCCGGGCGGCGAAGGCGUCCCAGGAAAUAGCCCCCGCGUGUGACCGUACCCGAAACCGACACAGGUGGACUGGUAGAGCAUACCAAGGCGCUUGAGAGAA